rnacentral:rRNA from 1 species
GACGAACGCUGGCGGCGUGCUUAACACAUGCAAGUCGAACGCUGAAGCUUGGUGCUUGCACUGGGUGGAUGGGUGGCGAACGGGUGAGUAAUACGUGAGUAACCUGGCCUUUACUCUGGGAUAAGCCUGGGAAACUGGGUCUAAUACUGGAUACGACAUGCCACUGCAUGGUGGUGUGUGGAAAGGGUUUUACUGGUUUUGGAUGGGCUCACGGCCUAUCAGCUUGUUGGUGGGGUAAUGGCGUACCAAGGCGACGCCGGGUAGCCGGCCUGAGAGGGUGACAGGACACACUGGGACUGAGACAAGGCACAGACUCCUACGGGAGGCAGCAGUGGGGAAUAUAGCACAAUGGGCGGAAGCCUGAUGCAGCGAAGCCGCGUGAGGGAUGACGGCAUUCGGGUUGUAAACCUCUUCCAGCACGGAAGAAGCGAGAGUGACGGUACGUGCAGAAGAAGCGCCGGCUAACUACGUG